UACGUAGGGGGCAAGCGUUGUCCGGAAUCAUUGGGCGUAAAGCGCGUGUAGGCGGCCCGAUAAGUCCGCUGUGAAAGUCCAGGGCUCAACCCUGGAAUGCCGGUGGAUACUGUCGGGCUCGAGUCCGGAAGAGGCGAGUGGAAUUCCUGGUGUAGCGGUGAAAUGCGCAGAUAUCAGGAGGAACACCAAUGGCGAAGGCAGCUCGCUGGGACGGUACUGACGCUGAGACGCGAAAGCAUGGGGAGCGAACAGG
rnacentral:rRNA from 1 species